UACAGGGGGUGCAAACGUUGCUCGGAAUCAUUGGGCGUAAAGCGCGUGUAGGCGGCUCGGUAAGUCUGCUGUGAAAGUCCAGGGCUCAACCCUGGGAUGCCGGUGGAUACUGUCGAGCUCGAGUCCGGAAGAGGCGAGUGGAAUUCCUGGUGUAGCGGUGAAAUGCGCAGAUAUCAGGAGGAACACCAAUGGCGAAGGCAGCUCGCUGGGACGUGACUGACGCUGAGACGCGAAAGCGUGGGGAGCAAACAGG
rnacentral:rRNA from 1 species